CGCCAGAGGGUCUUUAACAGCCGGGUUAUUGGGUUUGGAGACGGGUGUCCAGCAGAGAAAGGAGAGAAAGAUGCGAAGGAGAGCAGAGAGAUCCUAAAAUGCAAAUGAAAUGCAAAAAGAUGCAUUUUGAUCACAUAAUGGGAACAGCUGAUCAUCAUUCAGGAAAAGGAGUGGGCGGGUGUGCGUGUGUAGGUCUGGGGUGAAGGACGUGUUAGGGUGGAGCCCAGUGUCCCUGGAAUGGCCGCAUCCAGACUCAGAACAGCCCUGGCUCCAGUGGGAGAAGGCCAGCAGAUCACAAGGUCGUCCACUGCAGCUCCCUGGCUUAUAUACGGUACAUUCAGCAUGCCAGCUUCCUGCCGAUUUUCGACUUUUCUUCUUCUUCUUCUGCGCUUGGCAGUUCUGGGAUUUGAAUUUAUUUAUUUGCCUUUUAACCAGGUACUUCAGCCAUCAUGGGGUAUCUGAUUUAUUUGUGAUGAUGCCGCCACCAUGUUUUACGCGUGGGCUAGAUCCGUACUUUCUCGUACUUUCUUCCUUUCCAUGAUUAAAAUCGCUUGU